rnacentral:rRNA from 1 species
GUGGGGAAUAUUGGACAAUGGGGGGAACCCUGAUCCAGCCAUGCCGCGUGUGUGAAGAAGGCCUUUUGGUUGUAAAGCACUUUAAGCGAGGAGGAGGCUACCGAGAUUAAUACUCUUGGAUAGUGGACGUUACUCGCAGAAUAAGCACCGGCUAACUCUGUGCCAGCAGCCGCGGUAAUACAGAGGGUGCAAGCGUUAAUCGGAUUUACUGGGCGUAAAGCGCGCGUAGGUGGCCAAUUAAGUCAAAUGUGAAAUCCCCGAGCUUAACUUGGGAAUUGCAUACGAUACUGGUUGGCUAGAGUAUGGGAGAGGAUGGUAGAAUUCCAGGUGUAGCGGUGAAAUGCGUAGAGAUCUGGAGGAAUACCGAUGGCGAAGGCAGCCAUCUGGCCUAAUACUGACACUGAGGUGCGAAAGCAUGGGGAGCAAACAGGAUUAGAAACCCUUGUAGUCC